rnacentral:rRNA from 1 species
UACGUAGCAGCGAGCGUUGUUCGGAGUUACUGGGCGUAAAGGGUGUGUAGGCGGUUGUUUAAGUUUGGUGUGAAAUCUCCCGGCUCAACUGGGGAGGGUGCGCCGAAUACUGAAUGACUAGAGUGCGGGAGAGGAAAGUGGAAUUCCUGGUGUAGCGGUGAAAUGCGUAGAUAUCAGGAGGAACACCGGUGGUGUAGACGGCUUUCUGGACCGUAACUGACGCUGGAGACACGAAAGACGUGGGUAGCAAACAGG